rnacentral:rRNA from 1 species
AACUCAAAUGAAUUGACGGGGGCCCGCACAAGCGGUGGAGCAUGUGGUUUAAUUCGAUGCAACGCGAAGAACCUUACCUGGUCUUGACAUCCACAGAACUUUCCAGAGAUGGAUUGGUGCCUUCGGGAACUGUGAGACAGGUGCUGCAUGGCUGUCGUCAGCUCGUGUUGUGAAAUGUUGGGUUAAGUCCCGCAACGAGCGCAACCCUUAUCCU